rnacentral:rRNA from 1 species
UCUACGGGAGGCAGCAGUGGGGAAUAUUGCACAAUGGGGGAAACCCUGAUGCAGCGACGCCGCGUGGGUGAGGAAGUUUUUCGGAAUGUAAAGCUCUAUCAGCAGGGAAGAAAAUGACGGUACCUGACGAAGAAGCCCCGGCUAACUCCGUGCCAGCAGCCGCGGUAAUACGUAGGGGGCAAGCGUUCCCCGGAGUUACUGGGUGUAAAGGGCGCGUAGACGGCUAAGUAAGUCAGAUGUGAAAACCAAGCGCUCAACCAUGGGACUGCUUUUGAAACUGUGUAGCUAGAGUGCAGGAGAGGUAAGCGGAAUUCCUAGUGUAGCGGUGAUAUGCGUAGAUAUCAGGAGGAACACCAGUGGCGAAGGCGGCUUACUGGACUGUAACUGACGUUGAGGCUCGAAAGCGUGGGGAGCAAACAGGAUUAGAUACCCUGGUAGUC